ACAUGCCUACAACAUAGUGUCAAUGCAUUGGAUCCCAUUAGAACUCCGCAGUUAAGCACACUCAUGCUAGAGUAGUAUUGCGAUGGGUGAUUUCCCAAGAAGUCCUAGUGUUUUACAUGCC
rnacentral:rRNA from 1 species